rnacentral:lncRNA from 1 species
AUUACUGAGCUGAGCUGGAAUCACUAUACCAUUACUGAGCUGAGCUGGAAUCACUAUACUAUUACUGAGCUGAGCUGGAAUCAUUAUACCAUUACUGAGCUGAGCUAGAAUCGACUGCUCGAAGCUGCUCACAUGCACUUCAGGCCAGCCUUUCUCAAGGCUGCUUCUGGAGAAGUCGCGGUGCUCCGGGCUUUCCGCCGCCACGGCACCACCCCUUUUAGGGAUGUGCUGCAGCAAUUAUGAGAAGUGAGAGGGAGUCGUGCCCUUGCUAUUAUUCUAGCAACUCUGUUAGGGGAAAAUCUGUGGAUUUAUUUCAGCCACAUUUUGUCUCUUCCAGCAAACAUUCUGGUAGUUUCCAAUACACCAAAAUGAGCAUAAGGGGAUUUUUUCUUCAGUGUUGUUACUUUUGAAUGACCUUGUGGAACAAUGACCAGAUGAUGAAGUGACCAUAUAAAAUACUCUUUUAUGAAAACACCAUGUCAUACACUGCUGGGACAAAUUGUCCAGAGCAGGAUGCUGGGAACAACUUUGAUGCUUUAGAGGAACCUAUAAAACAAAACUCUGGAGUUAUGCCAGGAGAGAGAGUAUGGAAUGGGGAAGGAUUGGAAGAAGAAUUGUUUCUUCUGCCAUGGGAAAAAAAUCAGCAUCUUGGCCUGCUUCACAAGAGUGUAACAGCCCCUUCCUGACUUGUGUGGUGAGGAAACCUGGGUCACAAAAGCUGUGCCCUUCUAUUUAUCAGGGCAGCAGCAAAGCAGCCCAGGGCUUCUGCCUGCCCUUGGGAAGGUGGUGGUGUACAGCAGCAGCAGCAGCCUGGAAGUUCCCUGGGAGCAGAGCAAGGAUGUGCAGCAGGGGAGGAGAGGAGCAGCCUGCAGCAUGGACUGGUGACAAGCAAGAAGUGCCAGGUCACCAGUGGCUGCUGUCCCCUUUGCCACAGCUGCCUUGUGCCAGGAGGUGA